GCGAAAUCCAAAAGGUCGGUGUCCCGGCGCCUAGCGGGUCGGGCCCUUCCAUCACCUCAUACACCUUUGUCGAACUGUCGGGGGUCGGUUGACGCCUUCCCUCACCUUUUAAAACUCUGAAGUCUAAGAAUGAAGUUAUGGUGAAAACCAAAAACA
rnacentral:misc_RNA from 1 species